GGUCACAGCCCAAGAAGAAAGAAGAGAGACAAGUUGAAUUCAUCUACAGCCAGCUAGGCACUGAGGGCCAGUUAAAGCAUCUCCCACAAUGCCACCUAUUGGGAGGAUUUAUUGACAGAAGUGUGGUCCUGGGCAGCAGGAGAGGACAAAAAUGACUCCAUCCUGACUAGAUCAGACCUGCUUUACCUCAAGAAUAUCAAAGAGUCAAAUGCAUCUUGGGAGCCAGGGUCCUGUCAUAAAGCCCCAAAUGUGGUUCUAAUGUUUUUCAUCUAUUUGUGGUUUCCUGGGAAACUGUAUGGAAUUACGACACAGGCCAAGAUGAACUUACCCCCUUAUCAGGUGUUCGGUUAAGUAGAAAUGUGACUAAUAUAGAAGAUUAGAACCAGAAGCGAGGUCAUGGCUGUGACAAACGUGACCACAUGUUUUUCUAGGUCUUUGGAAAUGGUUUACAAGAGGAAUAUGAAAGGGUUUGGAACUGUGAGCAAGAAAGAACCCUAGAGUUCUGUAAGCAGAACUUAAUGGGCCAUUCUGGUGGGAGUUCUGCAGAUCAGAAUGUCCACAGAAAUGCCAGUUGUAAAGUUUGUGCUCACGAGGGUGGAGGAGAACGGAGACUCUGAGGAGGAUCAGACUGUGGGCUUCUACAGCCAAGACUCUGACCAACUUCUGCCUCUAGCCUAAAAAUCGGAGUGAGACGGAAUUCAAAGUAGCGGAGCGUGGUGGAGGGAAUUCCAAGACAAGAUAACAUCGAGGCUGCGGUACAGUUAUUACUCACUGUUCUUAGCCAUGGCAAGAGCAGACAAAGGGACUAAGAUGGGAAGAAUGUGUGGUUAUCGAGGAAGGGGGUGCAAACGUUGCUGAGGCUGAAGACAAGGCUGGUGAAGGCAGCAGCUGGACUUAUCAAAGGGGACCUGAGAACCUUGCACUGGGACAAUGAAGGUGAUCUGAGAGCAAAAUCCCACCCAUUGAGGGUCUCAGACUGUAAAAAUGCAAACCUACUUAAAAAGAGAGCCUUAACAAUGUCCUGCCUGAACAAGGCCAUCUACAGAAGUGUUUGGCUUAGUCAUGACGGCACUCCGAGGCCAUCACGAUUUCGGUAACUGGGAGGCCACACUAAGUUUGGGGCUGGCGUCAGAACUUUGCAGUGGCACCCAUGUGGUAUGAAUUUUUGCAGGCAGGCAAAGUGUGUUAGAGCGUCGCUGCGUCUUUCACCAUGGUUCCAGAAGGCCACGAACACAGGCAAUGUGGGAUAGCAUCGCAUCCCCUGUGAAGAGACCCCGAAAAGCUUUUACCCAAAGCUGUAGACGUGAGGACUAACAUGCAAUGGAGAACCCUGAGAUGUUGGAGAUGCCGGGACUGUGGAAGCUCUGCUAAACAAAAGCUGAAGAUGAAUGGGCCAAGGAUUUUGUCCACUGUGACCCCAUAUUCCACAGAUGUCCGGGUAUGGUGACUCUGCAAGCCUUAUAAGCAGUUGUCUCCUUUCUGACUCCAUCAAGUGAUAAACAUUAUGUGACUUGAGCCAGUGGCAAGUGCUGGGAGCUUGUGCAUACCUUAUCACUGGACUACAUUCCUAGCCCGGCAUAUAUGGACUUCAUACCAUUAGGAAGUUGAAAAAUCCAGGAGUCAAACUAUUAUGAGUCAAGGACCAUCUGUUAGUGCCCCUUUUUACUGAAGGCCUCUUAGUCUGAGGGUUUUUAGAAUUCUAAGUGGCCCUGGAAGAUGGCCUUGGGAACCAAAACAGAACUUUGAGAACCUUGAACCACAGGGGUGCUGGGCAGGAGGAGGCCUUGCUCUCACCAGGUGGAGGAGUGACCGCGGAACCUUCUACAUGCCUCCAACACAAGUCCAGUAGCUCGUUGUUAAGGAGGAUGCCUGUCCGAGCCUUGAGAUGAGGUUCUCGCUCUACCACACUUCCCUGCCAUGAUGUACUGCCUCACCUCCGCCCAAAGGCAAUGGAGCCAGCCGAGCACAAACAGACGUUAUAAACCUGUGAGAUAAAACAAACUCUUUCUCUUUAUGAGUGGGUUUUUAAUCCCGGGUAUUUGCUAUAGUAACGGAAAGCUAACCAAUGGCGGUGAUGCUGGCGAUUUGCAUAUACUGAAGAGAAGCCGCAGAGUGCUUCCUGUAGAUGAAAAGGCUGUGUCCUACUGUCCCUAAUUUAUAAUUAAACUUUAUCACAAGUGUAGCCUUAGGGAAGCAUGUAGUAUGUGUAAGGCUUUGUACCUGCCUGAACUGAUGGAGGCAGAGCCUAGACUGAUGUAACCAAAGGCAAGGGAAGCCUGCAGAUUCUCCCCAGGAGACUCCAGAGGGAACUGGCUCUGAGCACAACCUGCUGUGACUUCUAGCUUCGGGAACUGUGAGGCCUUGGGCAGUCCCUGCAGGCUGUGAUUCCCAGUGCCGUGCGUCAGCCUUAAGUCUACACACCUGACAUGCAGCUCGCUACCCACAGAGCCUUCUGCUCCUGUGCCCUGAAACUGGGUCAUGCACUAAGAAAACGGAUGCCAUUUCCUUCGGCACAACAUGAGCCAGUUCCAGAGACAGAGCUCA